CCCCUCUCGGGGUGGCACCUGGAGGGUUUCCAGUACUCUACCAGUCUCGACAACUGCAGGGAAAGUCGAACAGAGGCAUACCCAUUCCAUUCCUAGCUUGGGCAGUGGCUAGCGAGUGGAAGGCCAUCUGCUACAUGC